GACGGGCCCCGCACAAGCAGCGGAGCGUGUGGUUUAAUUCGAUGCUACACGAAGAACCUUUACCAGGGUUUGACAUGCUAGUGGUAGGAAACCGAAAGGUGACCGACCCUUCGGGGAGCUAGCACAGGUGCUGCAUGGCUGUCGUCAGCUCGUGUCGUGAGAUGUUCGGUUAAGUCCGCUAACGAGCGCAACCCUCGCUGUGUGUUAUAUGUGUCACAUGGGACUGCCGGCCUUAAGCCGGAGGAAGGUGGGGAUGAUGUCAAGUCAGCAUGGCCUUUAUGUCCUGGGCUACACACACGCUACAAUGGUCAGCACAAUGGGUCGCUAAGCCGCAAGGUGGAGCCAAUCCUCAAAGUUGGCCUCAGUUCAGAUUGUAGGCUGCAACUCGCCUGCAUGAAGAUGGAGUUGCUAGUAAACGCAGGUCAGCUAUACUGCGUUGAAUACGUUCCCGGGGCUU
rnacentral:rRNA from 1 species